rnacentral:misc_RNA from 1 species
AUAUAUCUCAAUCUCUGCAGCUUUUUGCUGGUUGAGUGUUGGAUGUGGGGGUGUUUUGUUGGCCUUUUUUCUUUUGAGGUCAGCUCCCCUGAAAUGUAUUAGCAGAACAAUUUGUUGAUCGUUCAUUGGUGUGAUAAAGCUAAUCUACGCUAUUGACGUGAAGCAGGUUCAGCUUCUAACAGUCCAUUGACUUGGACAACUCUUCAUUA